CCUACGGGUGGCAGCAGUGGGGGAUAUUGGGCAAUGGGGGAAACCCUGAUCCAGCGACGCCGCGUGAGUGAAGAAGUAUUUCGGUAUGUAAAGCUCUGUCAGCAGGGAAGAAAGAAAUGACGGUACCUGACCAGGAAGCCCCGGCUAACUACGUGCCAGCAGCCGCGGUAAUACGUAGGGGGCAAGCGUUAUCCGGAAUUACUGGGUGUAAAGGGAGCGUAGACGGUUAAGUAAGUCUGGAGUGAAAGGCCGGGGCUCAACCUCGGGACUGCUCUGGAAACUAGUGAACUUGAGUGCAGGAGAGGUAAGCGGAAUUCCGAGUGUAGCGGUGAAAUGCGUAGAUAUUAGGAGGAACACCAGUGGCGAAGGCGGCUUACUGGCGCGCAACUGACGCUCAUGCACGAAAGCGUGGGUAUCGAACAGGAUUAGAUACCCUUGUAGUC
rnacentral:rRNA from 1 species